AGUCUCAGUUCGGAUUGAAGGCUGAAAUUCGCCUUCAUGAAGCCGGAAUUGCUAGUAAUGGCAGGUCAGCAUACUGCCGUGAAUACGUUCCCAGGCCUUGUACACACCGCCCGUCACACCAUGAGAGUUGGGAAUACCCGAAGCCUGUGAGCUAACUUUUAGAGGCAGCAGUCGAAGGUAGAAUCAAUGAUUGGGGUGAAGUCGUAACAAGGUAUC
rnacentral:rRNA from 1 species